ensembl:snRNA LOC120103355 U2 spliceosomal RNA
AUCGCUUCUCGGCCUUUUGGCUAAGAUCAAGUGUAGAUACUAACCCUCUAUCAUAUGUGUAAUUGGUGAUACAAUUCUUUUCCACUCUGUACCCUGCUACUUUGCCCAAAUGAUGGUGUUCUUUGCUACUCAGAAGCAUUUUUUUUUUGCUUCUAGGAAGUUCUAUUA